rnacentral:rRNA from 1 species
UGAAGCUGGAUUCGCUAGUAAUCGCGCAUCAGCCAUGGCGCGGUGAAUACGUUCCCGGGCCUCGUACACACCGCCCGUCAAGCCAUGGAAGCCGGGAGUGCCUGAAGUAUGCAACCGCAAGGAGCGUCCUAAGGUAAAACCGGUGACUGGGGCUAAGUCGUAACAAGGUAGC